UGUAGCUUGGUCUAGUUGGUUCAUGACGUUCGGCUGUAAUUGAUACUAUUACCGAAAGGUCUCCGGCUCGAUUCCGGAAGGGUAAAA